CACAGACUCUUUGAUAAGAGCAACUACCAGCUGGGGACAAGUAUGUAGGAAUGUCAGUCAGGUGAGGAGAGUUUAGGUGAAGCAGCAAAGGAUAUACCAAGAGCAAGAAAACAGCCUCCUUGAGUGGCCUGGCCAUACACACAAUAAAGAGAGGAAUGUCCUAGACAGCUCACAGAAUUCAGGAAGAAUUCCUACUAGAUUACUGAUUUAUUAUGAGAGGAUACAACUCAGGAAAAGCCAAAUGGAAGUGAUGCAUUGGGCAAGGUAUGCAGGAAGGAGCAGGAAGCUUUCACAUCCUUUCAAGGAGUCUGCUUCCACCUGCUGGCUGGAGAAUUUCACAAUCAUCAGUAUUACACAGAUAUCCACAAGGACAUUGGAGACCAUGGAGGCCCAUAGGACACAACACCUUUGGAGAGGCCUGAGGAAAAUGGACAGGAUGAUCCAAGGAAGUCAGUCAUAACUGGAAUUUCAGGGGACAUUUGAUUAUCAGUAACUGAGAAGAGGAUAAUUCUGUUGCUCCAAAGACAAUGCUGGGGUUUUUGACCACUCUUUGCUAUAACACGUGAGAGCAAAAAGCUUGAGAAUUUUCUAGGAAAGUUAGAAUAUCCAGGAAAAAAAGUUUAUUUUGUGGCCUGUAGUGUUAAAAAUAUAUCAGAAAAUAGGGCUAAUUAGGAGGUCUGUUACAGAGAACCAAAGGCUAUAUUGGUGCUGUUCAAGAGAACAAACAUUCUUGCCAUUUGAGGAUGAAAAAAUAUUAUUCUGAGUUUGAGCCAAAGAUAAGUAGAAAGAGAUGAAGGAAAUUAUAUCUGUUCCAUAUGAAAUAUAUUAGAGGGUUUUAUUGUGGGUCCUAUGGAAUUAGCAUAAAUGAGCUCUAUAAUCAAAUAAAUGCAAAAUGAA